AUGGCUUCUCUUUCAACAUGUGCUGCAUUCAAAUGACAACAUGUAUCCCUCCUCCAUAUCUCUCUUGGCUCACCCUUCCCCUCAUCGGCUCUCUCUCUCCUCCAUAUUUUCACAGACCUCCUUUGUCUCUCUCUAGACUUCACCCGAGGAGAAGCUUGUCUCCCUUGACUGUCUUUCCCUCUCUCUUCACAGACCCGAGAGGUCUCAGGUUUACCUGCCUCUUCACCGACGAUGGGGUAUCCCAACACUGAGAUUGACCCACCUGUAGAUGUGAUAAGACCCGACGCUGAGUAACCCAACGUGAACUACGACCCUUGUGGCACGUGUUCCACUAUGAUCUUGAACCCAUUGCUCACGUUAAACGGUUGCCAUGCUGAGGAAGCCAUGAGUUUGCUCAUCUGUUGAGAGAAGCUUAAAGCUUUCCAAGGUCACAAGGGAUAUCUUCAUUUAUUGAGGCGAGGGAUUUUUUCGUCUGUUGAGGCAUUGUUGUUCGAUAGUAGCUAAUCUUGGCCUCUGUAAUCAAGUAUUCACCUGUAGAUGUGAUAAGACCCGACGCUAAGUGACCCAGCGUGAACUAUGACCCUUGUGGCAUGUGUUCCAUUGUGAUCUCGAACCCAUUGCUCAUAUUAAAUGGUUCCCUUUGCCGAGGAAGCCAUGGGUUUGUUCUUUUGUUGAGAGAAGCUUGAAGCUUUCCAAGGUUGCGAGGGAUAUCUUCAUUUACAGAGUGCAAGGUCUGUGGAAGUUUCGAUUUCGAGGUUGUGCAUCACCUUCUUGAGAUCUCUUAGAGAGAUUAUGGAUAUGUCAAAUUUGGCAAUCAAAUACAAUAAGGUGGUUUAGGAGGAAGAUGAGCUGCAACCAGAGAAGAUAUCUAUUGGUUGCAAAUGUUGGUAGAGAAGAUGCCAAGAAGCAUCUGGAAGAACAUGUCUCUAACUUGAUGUCAUCAAAUGUAAUUCAGACUAUAACCAUGUUAAACAAUUGUACAAGUUAAAAAAUUCUUUGUCUAUCACAAGAUGAGUGACGAUCGAAUUAACAAGAAGGUUUACAUAAAAUGAUACUUAAAAAACCUAACUCAAAAAGUUGUUUCAUAAUACUUAAGAACGAGCAAGUAAAUUACAUUGUUGUUGUUUAUAAAUUUUAU